rnacentral:rRNA from 1 species
AUUGGACGCUGGCGGCAGGCCUAACACAUGCAAGUCGAGCGAGCGGCGGACGGGUGAGUAAUGUCUGGGAAACUGCCUGAUGGAGGGGGAUAACUACUGGAAACGGUAGCUAAUACCGCAUACCAUCAGAGGUGCCCAGAUGGGAUUAGUUAGUAGGUGGGGUAACGGCUCACCUGGGCGCCGAUCCCUAGCUGGUUUGAGAGGAUGACCAGCCACACGGGAACUGAGACACGGUCCAGACUCCGACGGGAGGCAGCAGUGGGGAGUAUGGCACAAUGGGCGCAAGCCUGAGGCAGCCAUGCCGCGUGUGUGAAGAAGGCCUUCGGGUUGUAAAGCACUUUCAGCGGGGAGGCGUUACCCGCAGAAGAAGCACCGGCUAACUCCGUGCCAGCAGCCGCGGUAAUUC